UGCGGUUUUCAGGGAGUACGUUAAUGAAAACUGUAAAAAAAUUAAAUUUAUUCCUGAUUUAAAGCUGGUUAUUC
rnacentral:tRNA from 1 species